GUUGAGUGGCUGUGCUUUGGCAAGAUGCCCUAAAUAUAACCUUAUAAAUAUCAAGUUACCUUACAACUUUCAGUCGGGAAAGAGCACUUCCAUUUUUGAGUAACAAAAGUGCACGAUUAGCAGAGGCGACUCAACAAAAUUCAAGGAGCAGGUACUGCUCAUUGAUGUUUAUUUGCAUUCAUAUGUUACUGCAGCUGCCUGCUCAAAACAUGUGAAGAGGCGAAAUUUCACUUCUUUCAACUUUGAGGGAUGCUUGUAUCUGUGCCAGUGUUGACACAGUGAGGACAACAUUCAUCUUUUAACUGAGGAAAUCCACAUCAGCAAUCAGUAAGGUCAUGGUCUCUUUGUUUCUCAGCUUUACCGUUUCUCUCGAUUUUGUAUUUUUAAUGAUCCUUCCACUGCUUCAGUGGUACUAGAAGAGAAGGUUCCCCUGAUUUUCCAUCUCUUGACGGUUAGGUAAUAGUAAUCUUCUCAUAACAGGCCCUUACAAGUGGCUUUUAGGAAGAUCAAUACUUACUCUGACUCCUAGCACAUAUAAUGUUGCAAAGGUUCUUCUAAUAGGUCAGAGAUACUAGCAAUUUUUAGAAGCCCCUCUUGCACACUUACAACUAUGCCAUAAAGAAGAAAGAUGAGACCAAUUGCAGAUUUAUUUGAAUCAUUGCUGGCUUUGGUGGUUGACAUGCCUUCCUCACUUUAGAUGGUAUGAACAAUAGAUCUCGCAAUGCACUUGCUGACCUCUUUAGUUGCUUUAGCGGCAGGCCUGAGACUUGCAUCCUCAAGCACAAAGAAAUGCACACAUUUCUACUGGUAUAGAGUCCACCACAAAAGGUUCACAUAUCAAAGAAAGGAAAGAAGAAGAAGAAGAAGUAGAUAUGACAAAUUCAAUGAAAGAAGGCCGUUGGAGUCUACUAAAUUCAAGGUUA